GCCAAAACUAGAGUCACUUCCUGGUACAGCAUACAUGCUGGUGAGCUAGAGUUCUCAGAGAGGGUCUGCUGGUCCUGAUGUAUUGAUAUGGGCCGCCAAUGCCUGUGUUAAUGCUCAGGGCAGAAAUGUGC